AUAAAGUAAGUAUUACACACUCAUGUAAUAAUCCUCAAGCUAGGUCAUUAACUUUUGAUUACAAAAUGUUUAUUACUGAUGAUAUGUGAUUCAGUAAGAAAUCAACUCAUCUUCUCACUUGCUGGCAAAGACUAAGUUUGAAAGUUUUUUAAAAAAUCAUCUUACGCUUUAGUUAUUCCAAAACGAAUCUACUCCAUUUACAAUAUAAACCCUGCUGUCAAGUUUUACAAAGUUCAUUUUGGCAGAGCUACACUUUAAAAUGUAAAGCUCUGUUUUCUUCUUGCA